UCCCCGUUGCCGAGGCAGUCUGGUUAGAGAAAUCCAACUAACCAUAAGGGUUGCGCUCGUUGAAGGACUUAACCUAACAUCUCACGACACGAGCUGACGACGGCCAUGCAUCACCUGUCACCGCUUGUUAAAAACACAGAUUCCUUUCAGAAUCCUUAGCGGGAUGUCAAACCUUGGUAAGGUUCUUGGCUUACCAUCCAAUUAAAGAACACGCUCCACCGCUUGUGCGGGUCCCCGUCAAUUCCUUUGAGUUUUAGUCUUGCGACCGUACUCCCCAGGCGGGGUGCUUAACGCGUUAGCUUCGCUUCUGAAGGGGUCGAUACCUCCAAACAGCUAGCACCCAUAGUUUACGGCGUGGACUAC
rnacentral:misc_RNA from 1 species